UUUUACGCUGUAGCAUCUCUCCCUCUCAACCCUAAUUCCUCAUCUCAUUUGAGAUUUUUUUCAGAAACAGAAAGCUCCCACUCUUCUAUCACUUGCUUUCUCAGUCAGAGACAUUUCAAAUUUACUUAGGGUUGGAUUUCUCAUCUCUCUCUUUGAGUUCGAUUCCUUCCACAACAGCUCCUCUCCUUCUCCUGUAACGAAGAGACGAUGCCGGCAACCACAUCUCCUUUCCUCACAGGUUUUCACAGUUAUGAUUCCUUUGUCUCACUCUCAUCUGGAUCUCUGUGGCUGGCUUUAUCUCAACCUCUCUAUGGCAGAUAGAUCGUUGCUACUUUCUUACUUUUUUUAUUAUUUGAAUUUGAGGGUUGGAAGCUUGUGAGUUGUUCAUUCUUGAUAAUGAUACGGGACUUUAAAUUGAUGGCCUUCAGACUGCAUAUCGUUCAAACAUUGGGUUCUUGAAGGAAGAUGCUAGAUGAUGGAGCAUCCAUUUCAGCCUUGAAGAGAUAUUGCAGGUUUCUGUUUUGUAAGCUGUGUGUAUUCUAUGUUUGAUAACUUGAAAUUUUGUGUAGUAUGUUUACUUGAGAUCUUAAUGUUAAAAUAAUGAUCUAGAACUUGAGAUAGGAUUGAGACAUUUAUUGUCCUCCAUGACAAUGGAGCAAAUUGGUGUACAUUACAACCCAUUAGAUCCAUGACUUCUUAUAAUGGAUUAUUUUUGUGCUUGAGAUAAUUUAGUCCGAAUUGUAGAGUAAUAUCUUUAGUUUAUAAUCUAAAUUAGUUCUGAUUUUUCAGUGAACAAUUCAAAAUUUGGUAUGGAUGUCCUUCUUGGUGGGUUUUCUAACAUUUCUUUAAAUACAAUUGCAUACGAAUGACGUUGCUGUGAAAAAAGUGAAAAAAGUAACAUGUUGAUACAAUGUUGUUUCGUGAUGAACUGGAAAUACACAAAGAUUUGAUUCACUCUAGUAGGCUUAGUUGCGUAGAUAUUUGAAGAAUUAAGUCAGCAUGCUAGUAAUUGCUAUUGGCUCAUGGCUGAUUGUGUCUUGGUGUGACUUUUUCUAUCAUCCAAAGUUGGAGGUCCUAUCCUUGCUAGUUGUUUGGGAACACAGAGACGUGAAGAUGAAUAUGCACUUUGGGUUUCCCUUGUCCGAUGGUUCGCUGAUCAUCACAAGUGUUUUGAUUUGCUUUCUGGUUCGUUCAAUGUAUAGUAAAAUAUCGCUAUAUAAUUUAUUUCCUCUUCUUUUGCAGCGGGAGUAGCUAUUUUCAUUUUACUGAUAUCAUUUUACUCAACUCGUGAAGUACAAGGAGUCACAGAGGCAGAAAAAUUCGGCGAUUCAUAUCUUUUGUGGCUAAUGAGUUGGUGAUGUGUGUUUUAUUGUGAAUGGUAGUUUGAGUAUGUCAUGUCAAGUUGGCUACAUAAGAAAUACACAAAUUCCUGGGAAGAAUACGAUUUCUUGAAUUGUUUAUUAGGAGUAGGAUGUGUUUACUUGAUUGUCGACAUUAUAUUUAGUUUUUCAUAAAUGCAUUAGAAUGGUUAAAAGCACUACAAAUUCUAUUGUUUUUACUUUUAGGUACUGAAAGCAUGGAAGAGAAGAAAAAUGAAAUGACAGAGGUCGUUUGGCAAUUACCAUUCAGACGAUUGGCUUUCACAAAUUAGAAUGGCAAUUACAUAGUGCCUAUUUGUCAAUUGCCAACAUGACUUGGCUGUGUUGUAACAAAAUAAAGGAAUUUUAUAUGAGUUUGGUGACGUAAGGCAUGGGUUGAAUUGAAGAUGGGAGUUUAGUA